AAAACCUUAUUUUUUGCAUAUUCAAUAAGCGGAGGAAAAGAAACCAACAGGGAUUGCCUCAGUAACGGCGAGUGAAGCGGCAAAAGCUCAAAUUUGAAAUCUAGCACCUUCGGUGUUCGAGUUGUAAUUUGAAGAUGGUAACCUUGGGUUUGGCUCUUGUCUAUGUUCCUUGGAACAGGACGUCAUAGAGGGUGAGAAUCCCGUCUGAUGAGAUGCCCAUUCCUAUGUAAGGUGCUAUCGAAGAGUCGAGUUGUUUGGGAAUGCAGCUCUAAGUGGGUGGUAAAUUCCAUCUAAAGCUAAAUAUUGGCGAGAGACCGAUAGCGAACAAGUACAGUGAUGGAAAGAUGAAAAGAACUUUGAAAAGAGAGUGAAAAAGUACGUGAAAUUGUUGAAAGGGAAGGGCAUUAGAUCAGACUUGGUGUUUUACGAUUAUCUUCUCUUCUUGAGUUGUGCACUCGUAUUUCACUGGGCCAGCAUCGAUUCGGAUGGCAAGAUAAUGGCAGUUGAAUGUGGCUUCACUUCGGUGGAGUGUUAUAGCUUCUGCUGAUAUUGCCUGUCUGGAUCGAGGGCUGCGUCUUUGACUAUGAACUUGCGUAAUCGGAAAACGUU
rnacentral:rRNA from 1 species